rnacentral:rRNA from 1 species
GACGAACGCUGGCGGCGUGCUUAACACAUGCAAGUCGAACGGAAACGCCCUGCAUCUUUCGGGUGUUCUAAUGACGAACGGGUGAGUAACAAGUGAGUAACCAGCCCUUGACUUUGGGGUAACUACUGGUAACAGGGGCUAAUAACAGAUAAGAACUCCUGCUGCCCAGUGGGGGGUAGAAAGUUUCGUCGGUGGGGGAUGGACUCGCGGCUUAUCAGCUGGUUGGGGGGGUAGUGGGGUACCAAGGCUUUGACGGGUAGCCGGCCUGAGAGGGUGACCGGCCACAUUGGGACUGAGAUACGGCCCAGACUCCUACGGGAGGCAGCAGUGGGGAAUAUUGCACAAUGGGCGGAAGCCUGAUGCAGCAACGCCGCGUGCGGGAUGACGGCCUUCGGGUUGUAAACCGCUUUCGCCUGUGACGAAGCGUGAGUGACGUUAAUGGGUAAAGAAGCACCGGCUAACUACGUG